rnacentral:rRNA from 1 species
GAUGAACGCUGACAGAAUGCUUAACACAUGCAAGUCAACUUGAACUUCGGUUUGGGUGGCGGACGGGUGAGUCACGCGUAAAGAACUUGCCUCACAGCUAGGGACAACAUUUGGAAACGAAUGCUAAUACCUGAUAUUAUGAUUUUAGGGCAUCCUAGAAUUAUGAAAGCUAUAUGCGCUGUGAGGGAGCUUUGCGUCCCAUUAGCUGGUUGGAGAGGUAACGGCUCACCAAGGCGAUGAUGGGUAGCCGGCCUGAGAGGGUGAACGGCCACAAGGGGACUGAGACACGGCCCUUACUCCUACGGGAGGCAGCAGUGGGGAAUAUUGGACAAUGGACCAAGAGUCUGAUCCAGCAAUUCUGUGUGCACGAUGAAGUUUUUCGGAAUGUAAAGUGCUUUCAGUUGGGAAGAAAAAAAUGACGGUACCAACAGAAGAAGUGACGGCUAAAUACGUG